AUACGGAGGGUGCAAGCGUUACUCGGAAUCACUGAGCGUAAAGCGCGCGCAGGCGGCUUGAUAAGUUGGAUGUGAAAGCCUACGGCUCAACCGUAGAACUGCAUCCAAAACUGUCAAGCUAGAGUCUGGGAGGGGAAGAUGGAAUUAGUUGUGUAGGGGUAAAAUCCGUAGAGAUAACUAGGAAUACCAAAAGCGAAGGCGAUCUUCUGGAACAGUACUGACGCUGAGGCGCGAAAGCGUGGGGAGCAACCAGGAUUAGAAACCCCAGUAGUCC
rnacentral:rRNA from 1 species